UGGGGGGGUGGGGGGUGGGAGAGGAAAAAAAAAGAGGUGGGUUCGCCUGGAGUCCCUGCGGCUGCCACCGCCGCCGGACGGCCCCCGCCCCUUUCCCCGGCGCAAGCAGCUGCGCUGGGGCAGCGGAGAGACAGAGGAGCCAACGGGUGGCCAUGGCCUUGGCGUGACAGAGCCUCCCCGGCGGCCGGGCGGGUGCGGACGGCGGGGCCGGACGACCCCCGCGGGAGCCGGGACCCAGAAACCUGCCCAGGCAGCGGUGACUGGAAGGGAGCCCGCAGGCCUGGGCCGGCUCCGCGGCGCGAGCAGGAAGCGGGGUCCCUGGGCCCCUUUGUGUGAAGGGCGGGGGAGGAGUACCUGGCAGCCCCGGGCGGCAGGCUCCUCGGACGUCCGCCUCGCCGCGGGGUCCCCUCGCCGCGGCCCACACCCUUUCCCUCCCGGGGGCACGCGCCUCCUCUCUACCCUCGCCGGACUUUUCCCAGGCUCGCCCUCCUCCCCCACGCCCCCUGCUCGGGCUGCGGUUCCUAUAGGAAGGGCAUUGCCAUCCCUUCCCCACCCACCCAGAGUCUACGCUCUUUCCCCUCCCCCUCCUGUAACUUCCUCUUCUUCCCCGGUUGGGCCCUCUGCUCCUCUGCACUCUCCUCCCCAGUUCGCAGAUUUCCGCCUACCUUCCGCCUCGUCUAGCCGCGCCGCAGCUAGCGGGGUGAUCUUUUCCCCCACUCUAGUAGGAGUUGGUGAAGAUUUCUACCGCAAAGAGAUCGAAGUGGACUCUUCCCCCUCCGUGCUGGAAAUUCUGGACACCGCAGGAACUGAGCAGUUUGCCUCUAUGAGAGAUCUCUACAUCAAAAACGGCCAAGGUUUCAUCCUGGUUUAUAGCCUGGUUAAUCAACAGUCUUUUCAGGAUAUCAAGCCAAUGAGAGAUCAAAUUGUCAGAGUGAAGAGAUAUGAAAAAGUCCCACUAAUCCUAGUAGGAAAUAAAGUGGAUCUGGAACCAGAAAGAGAGGUUAUGUCUUCAGAAGGCAGAGCUCUGGCUCAAGAAUGGGGCUGUCCUUUUAUGGAGACAUCGGCAAAAAGUAAAUCAAUGGUGGAUGAACUUUUUGCUGAGAUCGUCAGGCAAAUGAACUAUUCAUCCCUGCCCGAGAAGCAAGAUCAGUGUUGUACAACUUGCGUUGUCCAGUAAAAAAGAUAACCUCAAUCAUGGCCAUACCGAGCAGGAGUACUGUCAUCCUGUGGAUGUGAAUGGACCAAAUGUUACCCAGGUUUUUAGAGGGUGGGAGGUGAUUAAUAUAUCACCUUUUAUUCAAUAUAGAUUAUGAUAAAACUCAGAGGAAAUUUGCACAGAUGCUGCUUUGGAGAACUUUACAACCUGGGUUGCAGAACUGAGCCUUGGUAAACCUGUCUCUAUUACAGCAUGUUGCCAUACAUCUAUUUAAGUGCAUAAGGUCUUUGGCCUUCAAGAUCCAUCGACCUUUAACAGGAAUGCUUAGCACGUUUACCAUACGUUUAAAAUCUGUUCUUUAUCAGUCAGUCCUUUUAUAGCUUUCUAAGUUCUUAUUGAUGGCUAAUAUGCAAGGGUUAAUUUUUAAUAUUUUAAUUGAUUUCUUUAAUCAGUUUCUUGACUUGUAUUUAUUAAAUACUCAAACUCAGUAUUACCUACGCAAUGCCUUUUAAAAGAAAGUUAUAAUGGAGAAAAAAUUGAGCCUUAAACAAAUGGUUACUUCUGUAUAUUACCUCGUACCAGUGCUUCAUCCUAUUUGUAAAAUUUUUCUCCUUUAAAAUUAUUGGUUAAUACUUUGAGACUUUGUUUACGUUUGGCAGUGUUGUAAAAAGAAAUUAAAGAUCACAUUUUACCUGUAUGGAUGGAAUAUCCCUUUUCUUCAAGUGCAGAUUGUGAUGUGUGUGUGUUUUUUUUUCUGUAAUUAACAUGUUCUGAAAGUUACAAUUGAUAUUUGAAAUUGACUGCAGAGCAUUUAGUUGAAGAGUUAAACAUUCAAUUCCAUUAGGUUUUCACAUGUGUUAAUCUCAUUUAUAGCAUUGAAUUGUGGCAGUAACAUUUUCCUUUCUGUGAAGUUCUAAAUUUAGUUAUGACCUAUUUAGCAAUGCCUUUGAAAAGGGAUAUUGUAUCCAUGGUAAAUUAAUUGUAUACUUAAACAGAGAUAGCUCAUCUUUGCCUGUCAGGCUUGUAAUUGACAUCUAGUAGACUUCUGCACAUGUAAAAUUGAAUUCAAAUAAAAUCAUAUACACUUUCUAGUUCUUAAUAUUUGUCUUUCUGUAUAAUAGCUUAAAGCAAUAUUUGUUAAAGUUUUCUUGCACUAUCACAAUUGCUUUUUAGUUAUUUCUCAAGAAGCAUGUUCGUAGUAGAGACAAAAUCUGUGUAAUAGGAGGGAAAAUAGCGCCAAGUCUCUGGGCUAUUUUUUAUUUUUGCAAAUGUGCUUUCUAAUAGCCAUUGCCUUCCAUGUUGUUUACCUAAUCAGCACAUUUUGUCUGAAUACUUGAACAUUUUAACAGUAACACAGGUAUAGAAUCAGAAAGGAAACUUACGAAGAGUAAUAUUUUGAUUCAGUUUUAACAUCGUGACAAUGAGAGCUUUUUCUAGCAAUGAUUUUUAAAUUGUAUAAGUUUGACAGUAUUUUAUUGUUGGGUUUGUAUUUGGUUUUAGUUGUGUGCUUUUCAUUUGCAGAAGUUAGUAACUGCAGCUCACCUCCUGCACCAAAGUUCUCGAUUUUAGGAGCCCAGCUUUAGUCAUUUGAACAUGCUUCUAAAUAAAAUAAAACAAAACAAAAAAACCAAAACUAUGCUUUUGAUCUAUAAUAAUAGCUCAAUAACUUUGUCAAGGAAAGCUCUAAUAUAUGCAGUGAUGGUUUAUGGAAGGGUGUGGCAAUUUUAAAUUUAUAUUGUGUGUGAUGUUCAAAUAAAGUGGUAUCUACAUUCAUGUGAUUUAUUGGUCAGCAUGACCAUUAAUUAUUGAGUAGAAAUUGAUUAAACUUUGAUUUCCUUUUUUAAAAUCGUGUUGCAUUUGAUUCCUGAGUAAAUUCCCUCAAAGUGAACUCUUGUUCUUAAAUUUUGAAUUUUAUAGUGGGAUUAUAAAGAUACAGGCAAUUGAAACAUUGUUCCUUAUGUAUGAACUGCUUGAAAUGAAUACUUAAUUUAAGUUUGCACUUUAAUACCAAACUUAAAACCAAACACUCAUUUAAAAGUAGGUUAAGUGAUCAUGGAUCAUUGUUACUAGCUUUGUAGUUUUGUGAAAUUCUAAAGGAAUCAAAUAAUUCAUCAUGAUUUAAAUUUUCUAGAGAUUUUGAUUUUUUAUAGUGUUUCUUUCCUGUAGAUUGUGUUCUUGUCUCUCUCUCUCUCUCUCUCUCUCUCUCUCUCUCUCUUCUCUCUCUCUCUCUCUUUUCUCUCUCUCUCUCUCUCUCUCAAUUACAGUGUUCAUUGUCAUUGACCUCAGCAGCAAAUUUGACUUGAAUUCACUUAGGAUCACAGGAAUCAGGGGAAAGUGAUUUUCAAGGUGGUUUCUCCAGCACAUUUUAAGAAAAGGGACCAAAAGUUAUUUUAGCUUCCUCAAUAGAUUGCAUGUUGCUUAUUAGGAUAAUAAAUUAAUUCUAAAUGCAAUAUAUGUCUUGUCUUUACUAUGGCAUCUGUUUAGGAGUUGUUCAAAUCACUGCAGUAGGGCUCUGCAAAUAAAAUAAUGUAACCAAUUAUCAUGGAUCUAAUGUACUGUAACUUUAUCAGUGAAAGGUAAAAUCUCAAAUAACAAGUACAAACAUUGAACAAUUACCUAUGAAGAUUUGUAAAAGUAAAAUUUUUCCAAUAGAUUUCAUUCUUGUCAUUUUGUAAGACAACCCUGCAGUCCACCUGUUUGUAACUUUUUUAAUAAAAUAGACAUCUGUAUUACUGA